rnacentral:rRNA from 1 species
CGAUGAUGCCCAGCUUGCUGGGUGGAUUAGUGGCGAACGGGUGAGUAACACGUGAGUAACCUGCCCCUGACUCUGGGAUAAGCGUUGGAAACGACGUCUAAUACUGGAUAUGAUCACUGGCCGCAUGGUCUGGUGGUGGAAAGAUUUUUUGGUUGGGGAUGGACUCGCGGCCUAUCAGCUUGUUGGUGAGGUAAUGGCUCACCAAGGCGACGACGGGUAGCCGGCCUGAGAGGGUGACCGGCCACACUGGGACUGAGACACGGCCCAGACUCCUACGGGAGGCAGCAGUGGGGAAUAUUGCACAAUGGGCGAAAGCCUGAUGCAGCAACGCCGCGUGAGGGAUGACGGCCUUCGGGUUGUAAACCUCUUUUAGUAGGGAAGAAGCGAAAGUGACGGUACCUGCAGAAAAAGCACCGGCUAACUACGUGCCAGCAGCCGCGGUAAUACGUAGGGUGCAAGCGUUGUCCGGAAUUAUUGGGCGUAAAGAGCUCGUAGGCGGUUUGUCGCGUCUGCUGUGAAAUCCCGAGGCUCAACCUCGGGCUUGCAGUGGGUACGGGCAGACUAGAGUGCGGUAGGGGAGAUUGGAAUUCCUGGUGUAGCGGUGGAAUGCGCAGAUAUCAGGAGGAACACCGAUGGCGAAGGCAGAUCUCUGGGCCGUAACUGACGCUGAGGAGCGAAAGCAUGGGGAGCGAACAGGAUUAGAUACCCUGGUAGUCCAUGCCGUAAACGUUGGGCGCUAGAUGUAGGGACCUUUCCACGGUUUCUGUGUCGUAGCUAACGCAUUAAGCGCCCCGCCUGGGGAGUACGGCCGCAAGGCUAAAACUCAAAGGAANUUGACGGGGGCCCGCACAAGCGGCGGAGCAUGCGGAUUAAUUCGAUGCAACGCGAAGAACCUUACCAAGGCUUGACAUACACCGGAAANCGGCCAGAGAUGGUCGCCCCCUUGUGGUCGGUGUACAGGUGGUGCAUGGUUGUCGUCAGCUCGUGUCGUGARAUGUUGGGUUAAGUCCCGCAACGAGCGCAACCCUCGUUCUAUGUUGCCAGCGGGUUAUGCCGGGGACUCAUAGGAGACUGCCGGGGUCAACUCGGAGGAAGGUGGGGAUGACGUCAAAUCAUCAUGCCCCUUAUGUCUUGGGCUUCACGCAUGCUACAAUGGCCGGUACAAAGGGCUGCGAUACCGUAAGGUGGAGCGAAUCCCAAAAAGCCGGUCUCAGUUCGGAUUGAGGUCUGCAACUCGACCUCAUGAAGUCGGAGUCGCUAGUAAUCGCAGAUCAGCAACGCUGCGGUGAAUACGUUCCCGGGCCUUGUACACACCGCCCGUCAAGUCAUGAAAGUCGGUAACACCCGAAGCCGGUGGCCUAACCC